CUGAGUUGUAUUCCAUCAUAUAUAUGUGUGUGUACAAUUGUUUAUAUAUAUAUAUAUUAUAUAUAUAUAUAUAUAUAAUAUAUAUAUAUAAACAAUUGUACACACACAUAUAUAUGAUGGAAUACAACUCAG
rnacentral:miRNA from 1 species